AUGCCCGAGCCCGCCAAGUCGGCCCCGGCGCCGAAGAAGGGCUCGAAGAAGGCGGUGACCAAGGCGCAGAAGAAGGACGGCAAGAAGCGCAAGCGCAGCCGCAAGGAGAGCUACUCGGUGUACGUGUACAAGGUGCUGAAGCAGGUGCACCCCGACACGGGCAUCUCGUCCAAGGCCAUGGGCAUCAUGAACUCGUUCGUCAACGACAUCUUCGAGCGCAUCGCGGGCGAGGCGUCCCGCCUGGCGCAUUACAACAAGCGCUCGACCAUCACGUCGCGGGAGAUCCAGACGGCCGUGCGCCUGCUGCUGCCCGGGGAGCUGGCCAAGCACGCCGUGUCCGAGGGCACCAAGGCCGUCACCAAGUACACCAGCGCCAAGUGAGCUUGCCAAAUGAACGACUUCAGCAGUCUCGUCCUUGACUUACACUCCCAGCUGCCUUCCAAACCUUGGCUGCAGGAAAGAAGCCUGAGGAGAGAUUCAUCAGGAGAGCAUUACCUCGGGAAGAGCCUAAAUAAAAGUGGUUUAGCAUUUUCA